UCGUGCUUCAGGCUGUUUUUUAUUCCAAUGGAGGGUUGACACGCGUCUGCAGUGACUACUCAGUCUAAAUGUUAGUAACAAAAAACAUAUGUUUUCUCGCUGGGUUCAGGUCGAAAACUAUGCGCCAGCCUCUUUGGCCCUUCUGAUGGUUUGCGCGUCAUCCUUCCUUUCCCCUAAUCGGGCCGCCUGGCCAACCCGUUAACACACAAAAACGCUGGGUAGCCCAAGAUCUUACCCAGAUUGGGGCGACUUGGAGCCGUAGCUUACUGCCCUGGCUCUAACUAAACCCCAGCUGCAUACUUUCCCACACUAAAAAAAUUCCCCAUACUACAAUUUUCCCAUGUUGUGAAUAAAAACUGAAUUCAGAGAAAUAUCCUUCUGCUGUGUACAUAUUUUACCUAGAAAAAAUGUACUGUCUAAGACUACAAAACAAAAACUGAAAAAAAAUAACUUGACCAUACAUUUGCCGUAAGGAAGAAUUAGAUACCUCAAAAAUAAGACUGAAGAAGAAACAUCUUGUUGUUCCCCUAUGGGAAAAUGUAGAAAAAAGUCAAAAAUUAGGAUGAAGAAAAAACUCUGAAGACUGAUGCUACUUGUGCUGAAGACUGAUGAAAACGCAUACAAAACCUGACAGUAACUUCAAUAAAAAACAAUGAUGGGAACAGAGAUCUUGCCAGAAUAGCAUAUGACAACAAUUAUCUUCAAAAAGUUGUUUCUUAAACUCCGCCCUCGUAAAACAACCACUCCUUGGCUGCUACAACCGCUGGAAGCGACACAGGUGUCAGUAGGCUUAUUAGUGCAGACCCACAAAAAAUGAUCUUCCUCCUUGAGUUGUAUCUUUGAGCGUCAAAAGCAUGUAUCUGUUGUGAUGGGAUUCAACACCACUGACGCCCCAUUUGGUCCAUUUCCAGCGUGCAUCUGAUCUGUAAAAAAUGAAGUGAAGCAAUAAAUAUGAAGGCCAAAUUAGUAAGAUGACAAAAUGCAGAUAAACUGAAAACUGUAUGAACAAACUUGCUAACCUACCUGGGAUUUCUUGACAAACUAAGCAACUAGGAUGGACAGCUUUAUUCGAGAAGAUUGAACAAGGACUGAAGUAGCUGAAGGUCUGAAUACUCAUAAAUAAGAAAACAGUCUAGAUAAGCAGAACAAAUUUUUCGUGGUUGUAGGCUGUGGUAGACUUAGGUCUGAAACAAUGAAUACUAAAUUAAGACUGAACAGUGAAUACUAACUAACCUACCUAUGUGGUAACACACAAAACUGAACAAAAUGACACCUAACACUGAAACUAAUAACAUAACUAAAAAAUGACACUAACCCCUGAGAGUACUUAAAAUGACACUAGUGUGGGAGAACUUGUUGAGUAAGUGUGGGACAACUUUGGCUCGGAGAUGUGAAAUAUAACCUACAGGUACAAAAAUAAAGGUAAGAAAAUGAUCAGGACUCAUUGGAAAAUGACAGAGUGAGUAAGCACUAGGGACUCAGACUGAUUGACUAAAAACUGAUAGACUAAAAAAGGAAAUGAAUGCAACAAGUAAUGACUAACUGAGAAAAACAAAUCUAAGAAAAAGCUAAAGUUUAUAUAAUUCUAUCAGCUAAAAGGACUAAGUUUGUAUCUGAAGCAGGAAAAAACUGAAUUCAUACACAAACUAAAGAAGAAAUGAAAUGUUUAACUGAACAGGACAACUAUCAUGCUAUCAUAAAACAUACAUGGAGGUGUUGGUAAUAUCCACAUCAUAGCCUUGUAAAAAUGAGUGAUGAAUGAAAAAUGAAACAUAAGAAGAACUAGACUGUAGUGAUAAAUGAAUAACUGACCAUGACAGUGAACUAGACUAUAGUGAUAUUUUUUUUGAAACAGAACUAUAGUGAUAAAUUGAACAUAUUCAAAACUAAGUUACCACUCAGCUUUCAAAGUCCUCAGACAACCAAACCCCAAAAUUUAGACGCGAUGAGCGACGGUCAGCACAGUCGGACCUGCAGAUUGGGUACGCCAUCCCCGUUACAUAUGUAGCAGAGAAAAAACUAUUAUUUUUUAGCAAAAAGAUGACUGAAAACUAAGAACAGAGACUCACCAGAUAACUAAUUUAAACUACAGGAAUUAUAAACACAUAUCAAGUCUAAAAAAUUUAAAAUGAAUGCUGAAAAUACAGGAAUAACAUCAUAAACUGAAAAUAAUAAGCUGAAUGGAAACUAACUAGUUAGAAUAAUAAAUGACUUAACUUAAAACUGAUAGACUAGAACAAACACUGACCAAAUAACUGAAGAGAACUAAAAUGAGACACUUAAGAUACUAAACAAACACCGACCAAAUAACUAAUCACUUAAUAUAUAGUUGAAGAGAACUAAAACUGAUACUUUAGAGUACUGAUGACUAAAAACUGAAAAUAAUCUAGCAAAAAAACCAGUGCAAAAAACUGAAAACCAAAAACUAAAAACUUAGGACUUACAGGAACAUAAGGUUCAAAACAGAAAUAAUCAUCUACUAAAAGACAAGACUCAUGAGAGAUAGGAGUGAAGAAAGAUGCAAAUGAUAACUAAAUAUGAUAAAAAUGAGGACUGAUACUAUUACCAAAACUAACAUAAGACUGAGAAGGCAAGCUUACAAACUGAGGAAGAAAAACACCAAUUGCUGGAACAAAAUUAUAGAAAGGUACUGAAAACGGAAGACUAGACUACAGAAACACUGAAAACAAAGAUUCUAAAGACACAGAAAACUGAAGAACUAGAGAUAGAGAGAAAAGAGGGCUGAAUAAACAAGACAAAAAAGGUGGUUGAAUAGUAAGGUGACUCAAGAAACACUGAAAAGUGAAGGAUUGAAGACAGAGAAAAGAAAUCUGAAGAAAUAAACAAUUACUAAAGACUGAAGAAAGAUGACUGAAAAUAUAUAUGAAAUAGUUACUGAUGACAGGAUGAAGAAGAGAUGUAAUGGGCAACGUAUGCAAACAGAUGAAUGAAGCAAUUCCAACAGGACAAUGGGGACCCUAACCACUAUAUGGCGCAGAGUGGAGGUGACAGUUUGACUGUCGAGCUAUUGAAUCCUACUAUAGCCUGACAAUUUGUCUAACCUCCCUGAUUGGAUAAGUGAUUUUCAGGCACUGUAGUUAAAAAAAAUAUGAAGUGAAGUUUGCAGCAGUUGAAAUUCAUUUUAAACGAUAGCCAUUGCCAGAAGAACUAAACAAAAAAGUAGGCCCUUUCGCCUUUGAGACACAUCGAUCUUUCACAACUGGCGCGCAACCUAGCCGACCCGUCUCCUGAUAGAUGUUGAUUUCUUCGCGUGUGUUCAAAGAAACUAAAUUAGGGGUGCUCUGGUUUUUUUACUGUUAGGCUGACCCCUGAAAAAAUUGACUUCGAACACACCUUAAUUGGAGGCACUACAAUGAAAGAAAAAUCGCUGUCUACUGAAAAAUGAACACCCAUGAACCUGCACUAUAGCAAAAAAGAAACCUACACCGAAAAGCAACCAGUGUUCAUGCAGGAAAAAGGCCUAAACCUACAAAAAGCAUACUGAAAAAUUAUAAUAGCCAAUACAUAACAGGUAACAGGAAAAAUUCAGAUCUCUCUGUUUUAGCGUGAAUAAAUCACGCCAAAAAAUAACCGUGAGCUUGCUCACAAAAGUCGGGCGUGAGAAGCAAAACCACUCCAUAAUGAAGGAAAUAUUUAAGCUGAAUAAUGUACAGAACAUGGUAAAAAAACUGAAUAAUCUAGUACCAAAAGCUAGCUCUCAUUCACUAAACUGAAAAAUGAUAAGUACAGAAAAUAUAGAUUGUGCGUAUGUAACAUGUUUUCAUCAUGGAAGAUGCUACCGAAGAAAAUAGGAUUCAGAACAUUCCUUCGUCCAUGCUUACAUCAACAGAAAGCAGACGAAAAUGCCGCCUGAACCAUUACUGAACAUUGCAUAGACCCUCCCACAAAAAAAUAAAAUCACCAGCAAAUGCCUAAAAAACUCAAAUACCUACUUCCACACAUGCAACACAUGUGCAGUUUUUAAAAGACUGCAGAGGAGCCGAACCGCGGAUCUACAUCCAACACUUCGUAGUCAACUUAAUGGAAUGUUUUGUUUAGUGGUGAAAUUGACACUCAACACUUCUUUGAACCGGAGAUCUAGAUCCAGAAAAACAACAAGCCGGACUUGGCGAUGAAAUUUGGGGAUUGACUGACACACACGCAUAGGUGGCUGCAAAAUAUUCAGGAUCGUUUCUCAUGAACCACUCAAAAUCGCAGAUGUGAACUAAGCUAUCGCAAAACGUCCCUACCCAAAAACCAGCUAAUUGAACAACCCCUGCGACAUGGCUCUAUGCCCGGCGACCACGACGAUGAACUGAAUCAAACACAGAAAGAGGCAGAUCAGAUAGAACAAAUAAAAAAAAUGGACAAACCUAGGACAACAGGGAGACGGAAGUAUACCUUGCGCCCCACCGACGCCGGCAAAUACUACCUCCCCCAGCAUGGGUGCUUGUUGGCGGCGAGCACGACGGGGAGCUCCGCUGAGUUCCUCUCCAGCCCGCGGCCCUCUCUGUGAGGCACGCCUCCAGCAAUCAAGCGCCACGCUCCAUCUCCGGUUGGCCGACCAACCGCUAAUCACCGGCGAGGAGGCCCCUUCCCUCCGCCGUCUCCGCCCGCCUCGGCCAACCCCUUCCAAUCCCCUCCCCGGCUAGGACAAAGGCCGCCGCCCUUCGCCCCACCGACUGAAUAGAAAAUUCAAAAAACACUUACGCGAG
rnacentral:lncRNA from 1 species